CCUUUUAAGUUAAAGAUUGAGGGGCACACCCUCUG
rnacentral:tRNA from 1 species